CAGCAGUCAUUGAUCUGGGAAAAAAGAGAGGUCAAGGUCCCAUAACUGGCAAACUCAAGUUGGUUGGAGAUGUGGAAUUUUAAGGAGUCAGGAAAAAAGCCAGUUACAUCAUUCCUGUUACUGGGGGUGUUGGUCCCAUGACAGAGGGAAUGUUAAUGGAAAAUACCAUUAUUGCUGCAAAAAAGUACUGAGGCUUGAUAAGUGGGAAGUGCUGAAGUCUAAAGAGCUUGAAAUAGCCACACAUUAG
rnacentral:lncRNA from 1 species